GAGUUUGAUCCUGGUUCAGAUUGAACGCUGGCGGCAGGCCUAACACAUGCAAGUCGAGCGGUAGAGAGAAGCUUGCUUCUCUUGAGAGCGGCGGACGGGUGAGUAAUGCCUAGGAAUCUGCCUGGUAGUGGGGGAUAACGUUCGGAAACGGACGCUAAUACCGCAUACGUCCUACGGGAGAAAGCAGGGGACCUUCGGGCCUUGCGCUAUCAGAUGAGCCUAGGUCGGAUUAGCUAGUUGGUGGGGUAAAGGCUCACCAAGGCGACGAUCCGUAACUGGUCUGAGAGGAUGAUCAGUCACACUGGAACUGAGACACGGUCCAGACUCCUACGGGAGGCAGCAGUGGGGAAUAUUGGACAAUGGGCGAAAGCCUGAUCCAGCCAUGCCGCGUGUGUGAAGAAGGUCUUCGGAUUGUAAAGCACUUUAAGUUGGGAGGAAGGGCAGUAACUUAAUACGUUGCUGUUUUAACGUUACCGACAGAAUAAGCACCGGCUAACUCUGUGCCAGCAGCCGCGGUAAUAC
rnacentral:rRNA from 1 species